UUGGGUGGGACAGUCACACACAGCGGAAGCGGCGGCUCUCAGCGUCGACAUAUUCAUUUUGCCUGCAAGAUUUGGGACAUAUUGCGCCAAAAUGCCGGCUUACCACUCAAGCCUGAUGGAUGCAGACACCAAACUGGUGGGGAAUAUGGCAUUGCUGCCUCUCAAAACACAGUUUAAGGGUCCUGCUCCUAAAGAAACCAAAGACACAGAUAUUAUCGAUGAGGCCAUCUACUACUUCAAAGCCAAUGUUUUCUUCAAGAACUAUGAAAUUAAGGUAA